GACCACCAAAAUGGCUGGAUGCUGUCGUUCUGAGAUUAUACUGUCAUAACUUGAUCUGGAUAAUACCAGCGAAAGGACAUGCGUGGCUUGACUC
rnacentral:ncRNA from 1 species